UAUUUUCAUUUUAUUAAUAGAAAUGAGAAUGUGCAAGAAUAAGCAGUUUGCUAAUUGAUUGUGUAUUUUUCUGUCAUAUGCUUUCAAUCGUUCUGCAUUAAAAAAAUCGUACAUGUGAAUAGGAAGGAACCUUGACGUGGUUCAUGUGCUUUAAAACAAAUACCUUCCAGACAGAAACUUUUUGAUACCUUGUGUAAUACGUUGUUUACAUAGAAUGCGUUGAGGAUUUUGAGAGAUGAAGGGAAUAAGCAGUAUGAAAAAUAAAUGCUUAAGAAGAUGUAUAACAACGAUAAUGAACUUCAAAUAUUUUUUUUAAUGUUAUUGUUAAUUGCAGUUAAUUUAUAUUAACAUAUUAUUUAUGUAACAGUGUGUAAGAUAUAUAUGAAAUUGUGUAUUUAAUUUUAAAUUUUUUUUA
rnacentral:lncRNA from 1 species